CCUACGGGAGGCAGCAGUGAGGAAUAUUGGUCAAUGGCCGAGAGUCUGAACCAGCCAAGUCGCGUGAGGGAAGACGGCCCUACGGGUUGUAAACCUCUUUUAUGCGGGGAUAAAGGUUUCCACGUGUGGAUGUUUGCAGGUACCGCAUGAAUAAGGACCGGCUAAUUCCGUGCCAGCAGCCGCGGUAAUACGGAAGGUCCGGGCGUUAUCCGGAUUUAUUGGGUUUAAAGGGAGCGUAGGCCGGUCUUUAAGCGAGCCGUGAAAUUUUGUGGCUCAACCAUGGGAGUGCGGCGCGAACUGGAGACCUUGAGUGCGCGGAAGGCAGGCGGAAUUCGUGGUGUAGCGGUGGAAUGCUUAGAUAUCACGAAGAACCCCGAUUGCGAAGGCAGCCUGCCGCAGCGUGACUGACGCUGAAGCUCGAAAGCGCGGGUAUCGAACAGGAUUAGAUACCCGAGUAGUC
rnacentral:rRNA from 1 species